GGCGAUGUAGCUCAGUUGGUUAGAGCGCCACACUCAUAAUGUGGAUGUCCCCGGUUCGAAUCCUGGCAUCGCCACCA
rnacentral:tRNA from 1 species